CUCCUCCUCCAUCUCCUCCUCCAUCUCCUCCUCCUCCAUCUCCUCCUCUAUCUCCUCCUCCAUCUGCUCCUCUUCCAUCGCCUCUUGUGAAAGACUUUAUUCUUGGAGCUGCUUUGGUUUACAGAAGUCCUGGGUGGGAGUGAGGAGCUCCCAUGAAGCAGGAAAUAGUGAGGACCCUGGCACAGAUGACUCUUUAAUACAAAGAUAGGAGGAAAAGGCGCCUUUUAAUGAUGCUGGCUGCUCAGCAAGUGACUCCAGUGGGACUCGGGAGCCCCGGAUAGAAGUUUGCUCUUCCUUCUCACCCACUUUUACAUCUAUGAGGCCGAAUUCCACUGGAGUUCCCGCGAAUACAGCUAGCAGGAUUUGCCCAGAGCCGAGUGGCAGGGUGGGCAGAGGGCAGAGCAAAGAGCUGUGUGGUGACAGAUGUCAGAGUCAUCAUGGUAACUCAGCGCGUUGCACAAAGAGCACAGUCCCCCGCUGGCCCACAGCUGCCCAGGUCCAGGAGGGCCGUCUGCCCUCCCCUGCAGCCCCUCUCCUGCCCUCACCUCCCUGUAAUCUGCCUGUCAGGUCGGUCUGGACUGAGCCCCAUCCGGGCCCAGCCCCGAGGCCCCUGAUGGAGGUGCCCCACCCUGUCACCCUCCGGCCCGCAGCCCCCGUGGCCCUGGGUUCUCCCCCAGACAGCUGCCCUUUCCAGACGUCCCCGCAUGGGCUCCAGCCCGGUCGCAGCCACCCUGGGACCGAAGAGAGGAUGAGCACUUUGGCCCUGGGAUCCCGACCCGGCCCUGCGGAGAAACAUAGGCACACACUGGAGGACUCAAGUUUUGCUGUUUACCAUGACCAUGAGCAGUAAGGGAGCCGAGCCUGGUGGCGCACGCCUGUCAUCCCACCACUGUCAGGAGGCUGAGGCAGGAGGAUCGCCCCGAGUUUGAGGCCAGCCUGGGCGACACAGCGCUGCUCCUGGCCACUCUCGCAGGUCCACGCGCGUGCUGGCCGCUGACCAACUCCAACAGGGCCGUCCUUUGGGUGGAAGGCGCCUGGCUUAGCAGGAAGGAGUGUGGGGGAGUCGUUUGUGCGUCUCCAAUAGAGAAGCAAGCACCUGCUGGCAGAGUCUCACUGUGCAGCUCAGGCUGGCCUUGAAUUCACCGGGAUCCUCCUGCUUCAGCCUCCCGAGUGCUGGGAUGACAGACUUGCACUACCACGCCUGGCCUCAAACAAGUGAAAUUUACAGAAAUUAUACAAGCCAGCUCUGUUUUCCUCAAAUA